CCUGCUACGUUAAUUCUCCUAACCUACUGCGUAAGUCCUCCUAAACCUGCUACGAUAAUUCUCCUAACCUACUGCGUAAGUCCUCCUAAACCUGCUACGUUAAUUCUCCUAACCUACUGCGUAAGUCCUCCUAAACCUGCUACGUUAAUUCUCCUAACCUACUGCGUAAGUCCUCCUAAACCUGCUACGUUAAUUCUCCUAACCUACUGCGUAAGUCCUCCUAAACCUGCUACGAUAAUUCUCCUAACCUACUGCGUAAGUCCUCCUAAACCUGCUACGUUAAUUCUCCUAACCUACUGCGUAAGUCCUCCUAAACCUGCUACGUUAAUUCUCCUAACCUACUGCGUAAGUCCUCCUAAACCUGCUACGUUAAUUCUCCUAACCUACUGCGUAAGUCCUCCUAAACCUGCUACGUUAAUUCUCCUAACCUACUGCGUAAGUCCUCCUAAACCUGCUACGUUAAUUCUCCUAACCUACUGCGUAAGUCCUCCUAAACCUGCUACGUUAAUUCUCCUAACCUACUGCGUAAGUCCUCCUAAACCUGCUACGUUAAUUCUCCUAACCUACUGCGCAAGUCCUCCUAAACCUGCUACGUUAAUUCUCCUAACCUACUGCGUAAGUCCUCCUAAACCUGCUACGAUAAUUAUCCUAACCUACUGCGUAAGUCCUCCUAAACCUGCUACGUUAAUUGUCCUAACCUACUGCGUAAGUCCUCCUAAACCUGCUACGUUAAUUCUCCUAACCUACUGCGUAAGUCCUCCUAAACCUGCUACGAUAAUUAUCCUAACCUACUGCGUAAGUCCUCUUAAACCUGAUACGUUAAUUCUCCUAACCUACUGCGUAAGUCCUCCUAAACCUGCUACGUUAAUUCUCCUAACUUACUGCGUAAGUCCUCCUAAACCUGCUACGUUAAUUCUCCUAACCUACUGCGUAAGUCCUCCUAAACCUGCUACGAUAAUUCUCCUAACCUACUGCGUAAGUCCUCCUAAACCUGCUACGUUAAUUCUCCUAACCUACUGCGUAAGUCCUCCUAAACCUGCUACGUUAACUCUCCUAACCUACUGCGUAAGUCCUCCUAAACCUGCUACGAUAAUUCUCCUAACCUACUGCGUAAGUCCUCCUAAACCUGCUACGUUAAUUCUCCUAACCUACUGCGUAAGUCCUCCUAAACCUGCUAUGAGAAGUCCAUUUUGA
rnacentral:lncRNA from 1 species